UACCUACGGGGCGCAGCAGUGAGGAAUAUUGGUCAAUGGCCGAAGGGCUGAACCAGCCAAGCCGCGUGAAGGAAUAAGGCCCUACGGGUCGUAAACUUCUUUAGUCAGGGAACAAAGGGAGCCACGCGUGGCGCUGUGAGUGUACCUGAAGAAUAAGCAUCGGCUAACUCCGUGCCAGCAGCCGCGGUAAUACGGAGGAUGCGAGCGUUAUCCGGAUUUAUUGGGUUUAAAGGGUGGGUAGGCGGUUUGUCAAGUCAGGGGGAAAAAUUACGGGCUUAAACCGGUUCCGGCGUUGAAAAUGGGGA
rnacentral:rRNA from 1 species